rnacentral:rRNA from 1 species
UACGUAGGGGGCAAGCGUUGUCCGGAAUCAUUGGGCGUAAAGCGCGUGUAGGCGGCCAGGUAAGUCCGUUCUGAAAGCCCGGGGCUCAACCCCGGGAGGCGGAUGGAUACUGCUUGGCUCGAGUCCGGAAGAGGCGAGUGGAAUUCCCGGUGUAGCGGUGAAAUGCGCAGAUAUCGGGAGGAACACCAAUGGCGAAGGCGGCGUCCUGGACCAACACUGACACUGAGGAGCGAAAGCCAGGGGAGCAAACGGG